GGCUCAGACAGCUAGGAUGUUGGCUUAGAAGCAGCCAUCAUUUAAAGAAAGCGUAAUAGCUCACUAGUCGAGUCGGCCUGCGCGGAAGAUGUAACGGGGCUAAGCAAUACACCGAAGCUGCGGCAAUGUCUUUUAGACAUUGGGUAGGGGAGCGUUCUGUAAGCCGUUGAAGGUGAAUCGUAAGGUUUGCUGGAGGUAUCAGAAGUGCGAAUGCUGACAUGAGUAACGACAAAGGGGGUGAAAAACCUCCUCGCCGGAAGACCAAGGGUUCCUGUCCAACGUUAAUCGGGGCAGGGUGAGUCG
rnacentral:rRNA from 1 species